CAGAAGUGUUCAUAUCACAAACUGCAAUCGUAUCACUAGAUAGCAUUUUAUAAAAAUGACAGUUAUAUUUGCUGCAUUGGUUACAUACAUACACACAUUGCAAAUGUGUAUCCACAGGAACGAUUCACUGUUAAAAAUUAUAUGUCAAUACAUAGUGAGGGUAAAGGAGGUCAUCCCGUUCUCCUCCUGUAAUACACAAGACAGUAUCUUUAUUUAGAGCAGGACUUUGUCUGCCACCUUGUGGACGUUGAUGGAAAAUUUCUAGCAAACGUUGAGUAUGGGCAUAAUUCACUUAACAUGCCAUUAAAGGGGCUCAAUAGUCAUCAAAACAACUUUAGCUUAAUUAAACAGUUAUGGUGUAUAAUUCAUACCCCUGCAGUCUCGGUGCUCAAUUCUCAGCCAAUUGUUAGUUAAAUCACUUUGUUUAUACAGCCCUAGUCACUCCUCCCUGUGCCGGACUUUCCAAACACUUCCUGUAAAGGAAGAUCUAAUGUUUACACUUCCUUUAUUGCAAAUUCUGUUUACUUUAGAAUUUCAUAUUGCUUGCUCUGCUAAUAGC